GUGGAGAUGGAGGCUGGCACUGGAGACCAAGAGGAAGCAGAAUCAACACAAUUAUUAAUGUAACAAAAUUUACUGAAGCAAUUCUCGUCAUCGGUGAAUCGAUGUGCAUUGAACUGAGCUUCAAAAAGUGAAUUCCCAUAGAAGGUGAUUGGACAAGAAAGUGAUACAAGGGCAGCCUGUUUAGGGGGUCGACGAGAUGAUCGUCGGCGUACUCUGUUCUGCACCAAAAAUGUACUUUAAAAACGAUUUAUUUGGAUUAGAAAAUCACAGACGGACGACGAACCACAGCAACCCACAACCAACUCACAACCAAAGGAGACGAGACGACGUUGAUGUCGGCGUAAGCGGCGUCGGCGGCAGGCGGCUCACUGCCUCCGGCUCUUCCUAUUCCACAAUGUGAUAGCGAAACACAAACAGGCUUACGAUGCGAAUGCAAUUUCCAUUGCCAUUUGCCACGACUUGAGAAAAUUAUGAUUUUUCUUUGGAAAGAAAAUAGAAAGAAAUGGAACUGUCUUUUGUUGCAGCAACGGGAUUAUUUCUCAAUGACAUUUUGCCGAUUUCCACACGAGAAAAAACGAUGAAUUGAUGGCGGAUGGAUUUUUCCUGCUUUUUCAUUACUAACGCUUUGGAUUUUACUUGAUUUUAUUGUUUCAAUUACUUUGUUGUAGAUCUUGGGAAUAUAUGUUUUCAAAUUUGAGAAAAGAAAAUACAAAUAAUUUAAUAAUAUUUUAAUUACUUCAAAAGUUAAUUACAAUUCCUUA